UAUUCAUUCUUUUCAAUUUUCUGGCGGCGUCGGUAGUGUGAUUACAUAAUUUUUUCGCGAAAUUGUCUUCGGUUGUAAAUUUUUAUUAAAAAGUGUGUUUAAUUUGUGAAAUAUUAAAGAAAUGUGUGCAAAAAGUGUGGUAAAGUCUGUAUGGAAUGUCUAUAAACAACAGUUUUCUUCUUUAUGAUGGUCAAUACGAGUAUCGCUUUGUCAUUUAUCACCAGCAAUUUCUUCUCUCAACUAGGUUGGUCUAACAGUUGUUGAGAAAGUGUGUGUUGUGUGUGGCAAGGAAAAGGAAACAGGAAGUUAACCAUAGAGAUAUAUUAUUAAAUAUUGAAACCAUUGUUUCGAAGCGUCGAAAUGCCGUACAUAAUGAACCUGUUCGAUCUUUCUACAAUUUAUAUCAUCGAGAAAUAUUUCUAUUUAGCCUCAACAAGUUCGAUUCAUUAAUUGCAAAGGGGAAAAUAACGAUUGCUGCUAAUUUACUUAAAUCGAUAGUUAUAAAAGUCAUUAGAAAUUUAACUAAUCCAUCAAAGCGGCUUAACAAGGAAAAAAUCCAAAUUCUCUCACUGGUCUCCAUAUCCAACAGGUUGUGCUUUCUAUUUGAUGCGAGAUAUUCAAAUGUAUACAUUUAAUAAGUAUAAUCUAAUUAAGAAUAACAAAAAUAUUGUACAAUAUUAUUUUAAUUAUAUAGCUCUAAACUUUAUAUUAUAUUAUGAGUAAUAUAAUAGGUAAAGUUUUAUACAAUUCCCUAAAUUAAAUAAUUAUUUUCUGUUUAAUUAUCAUUAUUUUCAUUAACCAUAUUCAAAAAUAAAGAAAAUUUGUUUUAAAAACACA